rnacentral:lncRNA from 1 species
UUUGAUUUUACUAUCCAAUUUUUUAAUUUUGUUGAUUUGGGUUAAUCAAUGAUACUUUAACUUUAAAAUUUAAGCUAAUCUUUGUAACACCCCAAUAGUCCCACAUCGGAUGGGAACGGGGUUGUCAUUGUCUUUAUAAGAGACUUAGACACUAGUAAUAAUAACUGGGUUUAAGUAUUUUCGGCCGGUGAUCGGGCCCAACGAGUUAUUAUUGCUAGUGGGCUGGGUCGUU